rnacentral:misc_RNA from 1 species
UUAAAUCUUUCUUUUAAUGAUCUUGUUGGUGAGAUUCCAACAGAAGGAGUUUUCAGAAACGCAAGUGCAAUGUCAUUGAUGGGUAAUACUAAGCUUUGCGGUGGUGUGCCAGAACUCCAUCAACCAAAAUGCCCUACUAAAGCAAUGAAGAAAGGAAAGUCCACUGCUAUUAAGUUAGCAACCAUAAUUCCUUGUGUGAUUUUCUUUGUCCUGUUGAUGUUGACCUUCCUAUUUGCUUAUCGAAGAAGAGUAUCAAAAAAGAGCUCGUCUGCUGCACCCAUGGAAAUUGAUGGCCUUGUAAAUGUAUCUUACCGGGAUCUUUAUGAUGCAACAAGUGGAUUCUCUGCCCAUAACUUAAUUGGAUCUGGCAGCUUUGGUUCAGUGUAUAAAGGAUUUCUCAAUCAA